GGAAGUAAAAGUCGUAACAAAGUCUCCGUUGGUGAACCAGCGGAGGGAUCAUUACCGAGUUAUCAACUCCCAAACCCCUGUGAACAUACCCAACGUUGCUUCGGUGGGACCGCCCCGGCGCCCUCGGCGUCCCGGAACCAGGCGCCCGCCGGAGGACCCAAACUCUUGUUUAAACCAUAGUGGCAUAUUCUGAGUCUCACAAGAAAAAUGAAUCAAAACUUUCAACAACGGAUCUCUUGGCUCCG
rnacentral:misc_RNA from 1 species